AGAAAGCAAUAGGGAUUAAGAACAACUAAUCCAGAAGGGAUCUAUCAAUCAAUACUCAACCACCUAGCAAACUGAGAAUUCUACACUACUCUAAUCCAUCCUCAGAAACCUAUUCACUACUCAGACAUCAUUAUAGAGAACAUAAACGUUGAACAGGAUGAAAACAUGAUAACAAU
rnacentral:sRNA from 1 species